UCCUGUAGCAUGUGCUCCCCCGACCGUCCCCUCCAUUCCUUCUCUACCACAGAGCUCGGCUGUGCGAACUCUGAAGUAGAGGGGAGGAGGGUGGGUAGUGGAGCACCCACAGGGACACACAUCUCGAAGAAUCAUCAUUACUGCACAAGAAACCAGGGAAGAGGAUCAGCACUGCCCCGAAUCCAGUCUUCAGCCGAGGACGGUUGAGAAGGAACUGAGGAGGGUGCGGGACCCACGCGCUCAGGAAGAUUCCAGCGAGACGGGAGAUAUCAGCUGAGUGCGUGCGUCCUGACCAGGCACUACUACCGAAGAUCUCCGAUCAACGGCGCCGGGACGCACCAUCACCUAGAGUGGAGCACCCACAGGGACAGCACUGGAAGAAGAAACUAAAAAGUAUCAAAGAGAGCACUGCUGCGGAGCUCCGUCUGCAGCCAAGGAUGAUGGUCGGGGGAGCACAUGCUACAGGAGGUGCCAACGGCUGCACGAGACAACUCCUGUGCACGCCCUUCCCCCGACCGAGUACUGCUGCGAGAAAUCUCCAAUCUCCGGCGCAGGGACGCACCGACACCUAGAGAGGAGCACCCACAGGGACACCACUCGAAUAAGCAAGCAUUUGCUUGACUGCUUUUUGGGGAAGACAGCUAUAAAAGUAUGACCUGGGAAUGAUCCUUUAUCUCUGGACUGAUGAAUUCUGACAGGGUGGAAUUCUGAGGUAUUGGACUGAGAUCCAUAGAGCCAUUCUAGGUGACCCUGACAGACUACUGGACACCAGCAAAUUACCACACCUCUGCUAUCACAUUGGACUUACAAACUUUGAUUCACCUGUAAUGUAUUUUACCUGCUUUGACCUCUCUCAAUAACUCUUAUUUUUUUCUUCACUAAUAAAGCUUUAGUUUACUAAA